GGCCCCUUGCUGGAACUGGUAGACAGACCAGACUUAAAAUCUGAGGCUCGUAUGAGCGUGUGGGUUCGAGUCCCACAGGGGCCACCA
rnacentral:tRNA from 1 species